GUAGCAGUAGCUCAAUAGUAGAGCUCCCGCUUCGUACACGGGAAGACGUAGAUUCGAUUCCCCGCUGCUUCC
rnacentral:tRNA from 1 species